rnacentral:rRNA from 1 species
CCUACGGGAGGCAGCAGUGAGGAAUAUUGGUCAAUGGACGAGAGUCUGAACCAGCCAAGUAGCGUGAAGGAUGACUGCCCUAUGGGUUGUAAACUUCUUUUAUAUGGGAAUAAAACGUUCCACGUGUGGGAUUUUGUAUGUACCAUAUGAAUAAGGAUCGGCUAACUCCGUGCCAGCAGCCGCGGUAAUACGGAGGAUCCGAGCGUUAUCCGGAUUUAUUGGGUUUAAAGGGAGCGUAGGUGGAUUGUUAAGUCAGUUGUGAAAGUUUGCGGCUCAACCGUAAAAUUGCAGUUGAAACUGGCAGUCUUGAGUACAGUAGAGGUGGGCGGAAUUCGUGGUGUAGCGGUGAAAUGCUUAGAUAUCACGAAGAACUCCGAUUGCGAAGGCAGUUCACUGGACUGCAACUGACACUGAGGCUCGAAAGUGUGGGUAUCAAACAGGAUCAGAUACCCCUGUAGUC